UACCUGGUCUUGACAUCCACAGAACUUGCCAGAGAUGGCUUGGUGCCUUCGGGAACUGUGAGACAGGUGCUGCAUGGCUGUCGUCAGCUCGUGUUGUGAAAUGUUGGGUUAAGUCCCGCAACGAGCGCAACCCUUAUCCUUUGUUGCCAGCGGUUAGGCCGGGAACUCAAAGGAGACUGCCAGUGAUAAACUGGAGGAAGGUGGGGAUGACGUCAAGUCAUCAUGGCCCUUACGACCAGGGCUACACACGUGCUACAAUGGCAUAUACAAAGAGAAGCGACCUCGCGAGAGCAAGCGGACCUCAUAAAGUAUGUCGUAGUCCGGAUUGGAGUCUGCAACUCGACUCCAUGAAGUCGGAAUCGCUAGUAAUCGUAGAUCAGAAUGCUACGGUGAAUACGUUCCCGGGCCUUGUACACACCGCCCGUCACACCAUGGGAGUGGGUUGCAAAAGAAGUAGGUAGCUUAACCUUCGGGAGGGCGCUUACCACUUUGUGAUUCAUGACUGGGGUGAAGUCGUAACAAGGUAACCGUAGGGGAACCUGCGGUUGGAUCACCUCCUUA
rnacentral:rRNA from 1 species